GUGCACGCUGGCGGUAGGCCUAACACAUGCAAGUCGAACGGCAGCACAGUAAGAGCUUGCUCUUACGGGUGGCGAGUGGCGGACGGGUGAGGAAUACAUCGGAAUCUACUUUUUCGUGGGGGGUAACGUAGGGAAACUUACGCUAAUACCGCAUACGACCUACGGGUGAAAGCAGGGGAUCUUCGGACCUUGCGCGAUUGAAUGAGCCGAUGUCGGAUUAGCUAGUUGGCGGGGUAAAGGCCCACCAAGGCGACGAUCCGUAGCUGGUCUGAGAGGAUGAUCAGCCACACUGGAACUGAGACACGGUCCAGACUCCUACGGGAGGCAGCAGUGGGGAAUAUUGGACAAUGGGCGCAAGCCUGAUCCAGCCAUACCGCGUGGGUGAAGAAGGCCUUCGGGUUGUAAAGCCCUUUUGUUGGGAAAGAAAAGCAGCAGGUUAAUACCCCGCUGUUCUGACGGUACCCAAAGAAUAAGCACCGGCUAACUUCGUG
rnacentral:rRNA from 1 species